UACGGAGGGUGCGAGCGUUGUUCGGAAUCUUGGGCGUAAAGGGCGCGUAGGUGCUCUGUAUGUCUACCGUGAAAGCAUACAGCUCAACGUGUAUUUUGUCGGUAGAAACUGCAGGACUUGGAGGCUGGGAGGGGCUGGUGGAAUUCCCUGUGUAGCGGUGAAAUGCGUAGAGAGUGGGGGAGAACACUCGUGGCGAAGGCGGCCAGCUAGACCAGUUCUGACACUGAGGCGCGACAGCGUGGGGAGCAAACAGG
rnacentral:rRNA from 1 species